GCGCGGGGCAGUGGGACGAGCCCGUUCCUCGCAGCAGUAGCUGCAGCUGCUUCGGGGAGAGUUUCACUGAGGGCCGGGAGGCAGCGCUGGGCUGGGCUCUGCUCUGCUCCUCCCGGCAGCCGAGGCGCUUUCCCCGCCCCCGGGCCCCGGAGCCGCGCGCGGUCGGGCAGGGAGAAAAUGGCUGGCAUAAGACUUCUUUGAGAGUGGUAUGGUGUGAGAAUUGGUGCUUCUGUAUCAACAUCAGUAAAAACACAGUUAAUAUAAAAGGCACUUCUUCAAGGAAUCUCCUGGAAUUUCUAUGGAGAUAA
rnacentral:lncRNA from 1 species